rnacentral:lncRNA from 1 species
AAAUAAAUAAAUAAAUAAAUAAAAUGAAAUUCUCAAGAAUACAUAUCAAACUAAAAAAUUUAAUUGUCUUCUUUAAUAAAAUAAUAAAAAAUGAACAUUAUUUUUCCCCAUUAAAUUUAUUCUUCUAAAUCCCUGAAAAUGUUAUUUUCCAGUUAACUCUGGUACCUGUUUAUAAAAUUAAAAAACAUUUCACAUGAACUAUAUAUUUUAGCUGCUUUUAAAAAUUUCACAUGACUAUACCAAAAUUUCCCUAAUCUCAGUUCCUUUGCAACCAAAACAUUUUUCCAUUCCUAUGGUUUGUUUAUUAACUGAACUAGCCAGUAUCUUACUGGUAGAUAAUUUGAUUUGGUAUAAUUUACUCAAAAAUCAAGUUGAAAAAAAAAAGCAGAACAUAUAUCCUCUCUUAUAAAAUGCUUACCGUGAGGAAAAUGAUAAAAUUACAGUCACGCAAAGAAGGCAAUACCAAAUAUGGAUUUUCUUUCUUUUCUUGCAUGUUCCCAAACAACUAAAGUGAUCUCUAGCCAUAUUUUCUCAGCCACCAAAAAAUUAGAAAAUAUAAUUACAGAAUUCUUAAUAUGCAAUUCGCAAAGUAAAACAAAUUAAAGAAGAGCUAAAAAAUGAAAAAGAAGGAUUGCUCACAUAGAUGUUGACAGUGAACUAAGUCGCUGCAGGACUGCACCUGCCAACAUAUUGAAUGGUGGUCAAAGACCGCUUUUGCUUCCUCCCAUUUUGAUUACUGCACAAAAAAUACCGGCAUAAAGGCUGUCAAGUAAAAGAGAUUCUCUAGAUUUCUGUCUCAGAUUCUAUAUCAAACAUGAAAAUAGAAAUUUGAGGCAAACGACAAUCAAUUUAUCUAAGAAAAGAUGAGUAAACAAAAAGUUAAAGUGAAAUGUGUCCAAUAAUGAACCUGAAUUCACAAAAUCAAAAAUAAUUGUUGCCUUCUUCCCUUCUAACUCUUCAAAAUUUCAGCUCUUUCAUUCAAAAUCUUCCCAAUCUCUUGCUAAUUCUGGAUAUUCAUGGAGUCUGGAAUCAAACGGUUAACAGAGAGGGUAGUUUCAUUUUUAUUUCAUCAAAAUUUGAUGAAAUGGAACAAAACUUGGGAUUUGGUUUGGGAAAUCACAAGGAAGUGUUGAAUUGAGAAGAAAAUAUUUAGAACUUUGAGAAGAGGACUUGGGUUGGUUUUUUGCUUAGUGACAUAAACAGGUUAGGAGGAAUGUGGCCUUUUUUUCACUCUUUUUUUGAAUGAAUUUCAAUGUUUAAGAGUAAAAGGUCAUAAAAAAAUUUAAUAAUAGUUGGACUUGUGCGGAGCUCGCCCGCAUGCAAGGUCCAACUUUAAAUAAAUAAUUAGUCAUUUAUCAGCAUAUUGUGGAUGGCAACGGGUCAGGUACACAAAAAGUGUCGUAUCCCAAUCCAAACUCACUUAAAUAUAAGGUACCUGAAUCCAUUUAAAAAAUUACCCCUGCAUUACCCAUAUUCGUCCCAAAUUGAAUUAGCAUUACCCAUUUGCAAUCCGGAUUCAUAGAAACAACCGUUUAACACAAAAUGAACAAAAUGCAUACAACACACAAUACACUAAACUGUAUAAACACUUGAUUAUUAUCGAACCCUUAUAAAAUAAAGAAAAUAGCAUGCUGUUAUUUUUACCACUCCAAUUGUCAGAAAUUGUAUGUAAUUACAUAGUUUUUACAAUUCAAAGAAACUUCAAGAAUCUACUAACUUAAUUAUAUAAUGGAGAGCAAGAAUGAAUACAUUUAAACUCCAGGUCUACGAAUAUGUGGCCUGUAAGUAUUUGGUCAAUAUAGUUUCUUGAAUCCCUGGACAAAAGAGACAGCUUAUUUGAUGAAAGUAAAAAUUAUUUAACUGCUGAAAAAGAAGAAUGCAUAAUGCAAUAAUGCAAUGUAUAGAGAAUGUAUAAUACAGUGUUGAUAUAUGGUUGUUAUUAGUUGUGUUUUCCAAUGCUUAUUUGUAGCAGUUCAUAUUAGUGAAGGUCUCACUGAUUACCUAAAUAAACCAAAUGAAAUAUAGGCAAUUUGAAUUAAUUAGUAAUCUUUAUUUCCUUGUGUAUGAGCUAAUGGAAAAUUUCUACAAAGGAGAGAGGGAGAAUAUGAAGAAUCAAUGUUAGAUUGUUGUUCCAGGAUUAGAUUUCAUUCCCAUCUGAACUUUGGCAGUCUUACAAAUCAGUUUCUAAUUUUGUGAAACUUAUGAAAAUUGUUCUGCAUGCCUACUGUAUAAAGUUUAUGCAUCUUUUGUCAGUUCAACUAAAGAAAAUAACACAUGCUGAUUUUACUUUAAAUAUUAAAUAGUAGCAUUUUUACGGAAAAGCCUUACCCUACAACCUACUGAGGAUGAUUUUGAUCAGAAGAUACAUAUUUAUUGAUCAAUCGUUUAGGUUUUUCAAUGAAAUUUUUGAAAUGCAUUUAGAAUUAAAUGCUUAACAGAAUCAUUUAGAUCUUUAGAAGUUAAGGAUUUUAAUCAACUUGCUUCAAUUUCACUCAUUUAUGUAUAAUUUUCUUGGUGUCUUUGCAAUUACAGAUACCAUCCAACACUUAAGUACAAAGAAUUCUGUACACUGGGAUGAUUCUAUUGUCAUUAAACUUGUUUUGACCGGCAUUUUAAGGAACUGAUUUUUCUAAACAAGAUUUACAAUCAGCAACAAAGAUAAAAAGAAACAAAAGAAAAGAAAUAAAAACUGCAGAAACAGGACAAGACAAAACCAGCAAAAAGAACAAAAGGAAACCAAAAACCAAAAAGAACUAAAGCGGCAAAACCAAACCAAAGAAUAAAAUAAGGCCCAAAGCAGCAGUAACAGUUUAAAAAAAAAAAAAAAAAAAAAAGAAAAAAGAAAAAAAGAGCAUAAGAAACCAAUUAACUUAGUCUAUCAUAUCAACGGCUAUUUACAUUCACAAAAUCAAACCACAUACUCAAUUUACAGUAAAGUGAAGAAAACAAAAAACGAAAUUAUUGACAGAGCUUUAACUUUAACAGUAACAAAAAUACCUUGCGAUUUGCGAGCCACAGAGCUAGUCUUGAACGAGACACAGAGCUUGUCGGCGGAGAUCGCCGCUCUUGAGGCGCGCUCGUCACUCGUCGGAUAAAAGGCAACAGGCAAAUCGAAGAUGAGAGACUAAGGCAACAAGAGAAAAAAUCAGAUCGAGGCAAAACUACUGCCUCGCGAAGAACGAAUUGAACUUUGAUUUAAAAAGUUAAUUCAAAACGACGUGGUUUGGUUAAGGCAUUUUCUGUGUCAAAACUUCGUCGUUCUGGUAGUGAAGUGUUAGUUAUUUUCUUCCUUUCUUUUUCUGGCCUAAUACAGAGAGAUAAUUAAAAUUUUAUGUAAUUCAGUUAUAAAUUUAAUUUUUAUAUCUGAUAUGCAAAAACUAAAAAUUUAAAUUUUGUGAAUUUAAUUCUAUAAUAUAAUUAAAUUAAAUUUCAUAAAAAAGUGAAAUUUUAGAAUGAAUUUCAUAAAUUUAAACAAUAUAUUUUCGCAGAUAAUAGUAGAUAAGUUCUUGAUGGGCUUAAAUCUAUGUUUCUGUAUUUUACACAACCAGCAAUUGAACAGAAAAAAAAAACAUUCGACCAUAAAAUGACAAGCAUCUAUUCCAAUCAAAAUUAUUAGUGAUCCAAGUUAUCAAAUGGGCCUCAAAUAUACACAAAGCCCAAACACAACAGAUACACACUCAUCAUCCUUAUAUUUAUUCAUCAAGUGGGCCCAAGCCAGCAGGAGGCGGUUACCAAAUGUACAAAGUUAAAUAUAUAGAGUAGAUACAACAGCUGCUAGCAUCUGCUUCUUGAAUGUUUUCACUGUAUUGAACUAUUCUACAAUACAAUUUUUGUCUCCAUUAAUACACUGUUUCAGUUUUCUCUUUCUCUGGUGAAGAAUGCUUUGAUAAUCUCAUCAGUUAGCAAACCUCAAUAAUCUUUUUUGUUGUUAAAAUUUUGAUUAACAGCCUAGCCUGAUAUGGUGGUGACAAUUCUAAAUGAAAACAUAACCAAUAAUUAAAAAAAAAAAAAAAAGAAAUAAAAAUACCUAUGCUUUUAUUGUGUUUCAGCCAUUCAUUUUGUUAAGAUUUGAUGGGAGGUUUAAAUUGAUAUAAUCUUAAAUUCAUAUAUUGAAUUGAAAAAAUUACGAAAUCAAAUCGAAGAAAAAGUAAACUUUCUUUUUAUUUGAUGCAAAUUGAAUUGCUUAGCGUGACUAAUAAACUACAGGCCCAUUUUGGCCCAUUCUCCAAAUUUUGGGCCCUCAUACUGGGCCUAAACGCACUCGUACUUUUACCCAAUUCCUCUUUGGCAAAAACCCAUAACUAUAAAUUUCCAUCUAUCUCUGGUAGGAAAAAGAUAAAAUUCCAACUAGUCCAUGAGGUUCAGCCAACUGUACAGUUUCAUCCCAAUAUUUAAAAAUAAAAGGAAUUAAGGAGUCCCAAAAUUUAAUUCCAUUAAUGAAAUAAUAUUUUUAUUUCCAUAGACCUGGUUUAGGUAGGUCUAAACCUUAUUAUAAUUAAUAUUAAUUAACCAAUAGUCAAUAAAUAUUUUUUUGAAAAAUAUAAUUCAUUAACUAUAAUAUCAAACAUUACGAAUAAUCAUAUAGAUCAGACAAUGAAUUUUACUAUCAUAAGCUAAUAGAGUUCGUUGAUCUUUUAACAAGCUAAAAUAAUUAUAUAUAUUCUUUUGAAUGAUAAUACUAAAUAUAAGAAAAUAUAAUAUUAUAUCUUUCCACUUGAAGAUGAUCUUGAUAAAAGAUAUAAAUAUUCUUAUUACCAACUAGUUUUUUAAUUGAUUUGGAUAGUAAAAUAAUAAUUACUUUGGAUCUUUUAUAUCUGAAUUGUUUUUAGCUAAAUUGUUUUUUCAAGGACUUGUAAUAUAUAACAUACACAUAUGAAUUCUCGCCAACAUACAUCAAUAGUAUCAAUAGAGGAACAAGUCGCACUAUUAGACUUCGUUGAUCAAAGAUUCACAUUUACAAAUCAAUAUCAAAAGUUUCCAACCAAAUAAAAUCAAAUAUUAUACUUUUAUUUAUAAUAAACUCUCAUACAGAAGGAACAAAAAGCUCUAAAUACGGAAACAAAAUAACAAUAAUAAAAAUCAAAACAAAUAUAUUAUAUGAUAAAUAGAUAUGAAUUUAUUAAAAUGGCUAAGAGAAUUUAAAAGAGAAAAAGAGAAGAAGUUGAAUCAAAGGAAAAAAAUAGAAUGUAGGAGAUUAUCACUAAUCAACAUCAAGCGGCCACAAACUAAAUUUUUAAACAUUUUAUAAAUUUCAAUCAAUGACUUCGUUAUUUUAGGUGUCUCGUCAUGCCGAAGAGAUAAUAAAAAAUCAAAAUUCGAAAGACUCAAGAAAGAUCAUCUUUUCACCAUUCAUAUUUAAAUAUAAUAUAUAUAACGGCAGAGCUUCUUAUGGUCGAAAGGUCGCUGGGCAAUUCUAAGAAAUUUUUUUUAAAAGAAAAAUUCUUAUGAAAUAUUAUAUUUUGGUCUUUAAAAAUAUAAAAAAAUUAUAUUUUGAUACCCUAAAAGUUUUUAAAACUUCAUUUAGCUUGUUUAAAGUAAUUGUCUUAGUUCUGUGCUGAAUAUAUAUAUAUAUAUAUAUAUAUAUAUAUAUAUAUUAAAUAUUCUAUGUAUUAUCCCUAUCACAUUUGCAUUGAUAACCAGGACAAGAAGCUUGUAGCCAAAUGUUAGAGUACUGACAACUAAUUCCCACUGUGAAAUGUUUUAUUAGCCUCUGAUCAUCAAUGAUUAAGUGGCCCACUUGUUUUAAUUUGUCCAGAACUUAUGGAAUAAUUAAUCAAGUAUUAAUAAUUAUUUUUGGAAGCGAACAUUCUAGAUAUACCUUUUUUCUCUUGUUCAGCUACUGCAACAUUUUUGUUGGAGAAUCAAGAACUUAUGGCUUAAAAUAUUCGCAUAUACUAUAUUAAGUACUCCCAUCUUCAAAAUAGUUCAUUUUCUAUUUUUACACAGAUUAAAAAAAUAAUAAUUAUUAUGAGUUUUGACAAUUCUAUUCCUAUAACUUUUCUAUCAUACCAUUUUAAAUAACAUAUGAGCAAUUAUUAUAUUUAAAUAAUAAGUAAAAAUUAAUGAGGGUUAUUGAAAAUAAGAAAAAAUUUAAUAAGGGUAUAAUAGACAAUUUCAUGAUUAACUAUAAUACAAAAAAGAAAAAUAAACCAUAUUUUAGGACAAAUUAAAAAGAAAAGAUGAAAUAUUUUUUUGAGGCAGAUCUAUUAUUCUUCUCACAAUAAUGAUUUUAUAAGUACAGUUUUUUUUUUUCUUUAUACUCAAAUGAUAUGAGAAGCUAAUUUUAUAAAAAACGAAGAUUAAUUUGUCUUUGAAUUUGUUUAAUAGGAUAAAAAAUGUCAAGAUUUGAUCUUUUUAGAUCAAUUUAACAUCUAAACUUAUUUAAAAUAAUUAAAAAGAUCAGAUUUAAUAUUUUGGAUUAAUUUAGUCCCUGACUAUUCGCUGUAUUUAUAACGUGAGAAUUCUUAUAUAGACAUUUAUUAAAAUUAUAGUUGGAAUCACGUGGUAUAAUUUAUUGAAAAAUUUAAUUAAAUAUCAAAUUGAGGAAAUAAUAUAUGAAAUAUAUUAUAUCCCUCUUUAUCUUGAUCUAUCAUUUUAAAUUCAUAAAUAUGUACUAAUUUAAAUAUUUUAAAAUUGAACUUUACUACUAGAUUAUUGCAUAUGCAGUUCAUGCAUUUCUCAUGUUAAACGAAUUCAAAGUUACACUACAUAUUUUAUAAAUUUACUGUGUUAAAGAAAUAAUAUUUUCGUGAUUUUAAAAUUCUAUUCAGAAGUAUUGGAAAAGUUUGAUCUAGAUAUUCCUAUUAAAUUGAAUCAAUUUAUUAUUUUGUAAAAAUCAAAAUAAAUUUAGUGGCUGAAUUGAUUUAAAAAAAAUCAAAUCUGACUUUUAAAUCCCAUAAAUAAGUUCGUGAGCUAAAUUAGUCUUUAUUCCAUUUUAUAACCACAAAGUCGUGUUUAAAAUUUUAAACAAUAUGGUUCUUAUGUUGCCUGUAACGGUUUCGUAUGCUCUAGUAGCUUUCUCUCUUUUGUCCAAGGUUUCUUGUCCUGCCAACAUGGAGAGGGACUUUAAUCAUUUGUCAAUCGCUGAUGAUGAGGAAGAAGGCUUGCCUGUUAACGCAUCUUCAGAUGCCACCAAGUCUACCUACGAAUUUUGUCUUGUCGACAUGUUCUUGACUUGCGGGACUGUGAAUUUUUAGUCCAUGCGAAACACUUUCGCAGAUUUGUGGCAUUCGCUCGGAGGGAUUAUAAUUACUGAUUUGGGAGCCAAACGUUUUCUGUUUCGGUUCUACAACAAAGUGGAUUUGGAUAGGGUUUUGAAUGGUGCCCCAUGGACUUUUAAUCGACACUUGCUGGUAUGGGGUCUGAUAAAAAAUGAUGAGGACCCGCUGCUGAUUCCUUUGCUAUACUCGGAUUUCUGGGUUCAGGUACAUAACUUGCCGGUCGGGUUAAUGUCUGCGGCAGUGGCCAAAUCAAUAGGGAAUUUCAUUGGUACUUUCAUUGAAUAUGACAUUAAGACUGUUCAUUUUGAUCCCAAUCAAUUUAUGAGACUGCAGGUUAAGUUGGAUAUUCGUACCUUUACGUAGAGGAAAGAAGUUGAUUGAUUCUAAUGGUAAUGUUCAUUAUGUCCAAUUCCAGAAUGAAAAACUUCUUGUGUUUUGCUAUACUUGCGGUCGCUUGGGACACACCGAUUCGUUCUGUAAAUUACAAUUGCACAAGUCUAAAAAAGAACUCAAGCCAGCUUGGGAUGAUCGAAUAAGGGUGCCGAUUCGCCGGAAAAUUCAGCAAACAACCAUGGCUGCAUGAUGAUAGAAAGUUUGAUGAUACUCCAAUCCAGGCAGAUAUUUCGGGAUGUGUGGGCGGGAAAUAUGGAGUUUUGAAAUCCCAACAAUUUUGAGCUUCCUUUUAUGGCACGAUAGUUAAUUUUAAUGUUAGUACUAAUCCCAUAGGCUUUAUGGAGACUGAUACAAAUUCUUUGAAUGGGUCCAAUACUGAUGGGCUUGACGAGGAUGUGGUCUUAGAAGAUGUGGGUGAAAUGAAGAAGAGGCCCCGAUGAUCCUUUUUGGUGAGGGUAUUAAAGUGGCUAGUGAUCCUUGAGGAGGAUCCUUUUUGCUGUAGAAUCAACGUGGUAGCUCUACUGUGGAUAUUGCCGUGAAGUACCUAUCGAAUUGGAGAGAAGUGUGUCUGCCACAUGAAGCUGCUGUGACGUCCAUUUCAGUGCUUCAUUGACAUGCACAUAAAGCACCAUCCAUUCACGCUCACAAUUUUGUUUGGAUUUGCUUCAUUGAUGGAUCAGUGUUCACAACCAUGGAUUUCAUUGGCUAUGCUUAUGUUAUUGAGGACAGUGAGGGACGGUUUCAACGUGCAGUGUCAGGGUUUCAGGAAGGCAAUGGCUCGGCGGUGGUGAUGGAGGCUAUAGCUCUUCGUUCCUGCCUUUCAUAUGCUCGUGAUUUUCUAUCUUUAAAUGGGUGUAUUUUUUCAAAUUGCCAAAAUCUUAUGAAUGCUCUCAAAUCCCAUUGUUUUAGAUAAUUUUGAAUUUGGUUUGAUUGUUCUUGAUUGUAAGCGAAUUUUAGAGUCUAGACAUGAUAUUACUGUCAGGUGGAUUCAGAGACAAGCUAAUAUGGAUGCUCACACUCUUGCUAGAGCAUCUAUACAUCAUGCUCGUUUCCAAAUUUGGGAUGAUGUUCGUCUUGUUAGUUAGAUUUUUUCCAUUGAGAUAAUGCAAUAUUAUUUCAUUUAAAACAAAUUUAAAACAAUAUAUAAAUUUUAUCAAACAAAUUUAAAUUAAUAACUCUAAAAAAUUUUAAUUUUUAGAUAUUAAAUGGUGUUAUUAGAUGUAAACUAAAUUUAUAUUGUUAUUUCAAUUUAAAUGUCUAAACAAAAUUCUCAAAUUCUUUUUUUGUUAAUAUUUUUUUGGAGAAAUAUAAUUCAUUAAUAAUAAAAGUAUUACAAAUACUCAAUUAGAUCAAAUAUAAAACUUAUUAUCAUAAUUAAUAAAAAGUUCGAUGAUCCUUCAACAAUAAAAGAAUUAUCUAUAUUUUUUUGAAUAGUAAAACUAAAAUUAAAAGAAACAGUUGGAGUUUUCCGCUUGAAAAAAACUUUGAUCGAUAUAAAUCUUCAUAGUAACAACUGAUCCUUUAAUUGAUUUGGACGAUAAAAUAACUUUUUCGAACUUUAUAUGCUUGGAUUGCUUUUUCAAAAAUUUGUUGCAUAUAACAUAUGCGGAUGAGUUUAAACCACUAUGGGUUAAUAGCAUGAAUGAAGGAACAGACUGUACUAUCAGGUUCCAUUGGUUGAAGAUACACAUCAGUAAAACAAGAUCGAAAUUCUCCAAUCAAAUAAAAUCAAAUGUCAUACCUUUUAAUAAUAAAUCUUCACAAGGAACUAAACCCUCUCAAAAGAAUGGGCAAAAAAACUCCAAAUAUGGAGACAAAACAAAUCAAUAACAAAAACAACAAUAACAAAAAUAUAUCUAUUAGAAGAAAAUGGAUUUGAGUUUAUUAAAAACAAAUAAAAGAUUAGGAGCCAGAAGAAAAAAAAAAAAAGUAUGGGGCUACUACUGAUUAACAAUGGCAACCUCAAACAAAAACUAUGAUUAAAUAAAUCAGAGAGAAAAGAGGAGGAGAGAAACCCUAAAACUAUCGAUUUUUUUUUUGUUAAUAUUUAAAAUGACGGUUUUUUUUUUUUUUUUUUUUUUUUUUGCGAAUGUUAAACAAAUCCCUAAAUAGUAUAGGUAAUAAAAUAAAAAAAAAUAUGUAUCACUUUAAUAAUAAUUUCAUGUUAAAAAAUGUUGGAAAAAUAGAGCUCUUGAAUAGGAAAAUCCGGUAUCGAAUUUUUGCUCUGCUAGGGUUUAUCACUUUAACAUUUAAAAAAAAAAAAAAACUAUUUUCAAGACAGUUCAUUUUCUAUUAUUUCUUUUUAAUAUUGAAUAUUAAUUAAAUAACUUACUUUUAAAAAUAUUUUUCCUUGACUUUUUUAAACACUUUAAAUAUAGAAAAAAUUCAAAAAUAUUUUUUAAAUAAAUUAUUUUCAAGAAAAAAUCUUGGAUAAUGGAAAUUUGGAAAAUUAGAUAAAUAAUAAUAAAACCUUAUGCACAGCAAACAUUUGUUAUAUGGUGUCCCAAGAAUAGUAAAACUUGUGGCUGAAUUUUGUAUUUCUUUUUUAGAUCACUCUCUAUCACGCUCUUAACAAUUCCCAUUUGCUGAAGUGGUCCCCAUAAAAGUAUUCUUGAUUGAGAUUUGAAUACGAAUUUCAAUUAAGUAAGCUUCAAGUUACAAACAUCAUCUUCACAAAAUUUCCUUCAUUGGUGAAGCAUUUAUCAUUUGGUAAGUUUUCUCAGAUUUAACACUAUGUUUGGAAUUGGGAGAUUUUAUGAUAGGAAGAAAAUUUUGAAUGGAAAAUAAGAAAAGAAAGCUAUUUUCCUCCUGCUUAAAUGUAAAUAAAAUUUGAAAGGAAAGAAAAUAUUACCAAAAUCCUUUCUGUCCCAUAUUUUAUUAAUCUCUCCAAAUUGGCGAGAAAAUAGGAGAUAAAUGUAUAAAAGGAUAGAAGUGUAAAUUUACAACAAUACAAUUUUCUUUCCUCCAUAUUUUAGACUUUUCUAAAUAAUAUAUAUAUAUAUAUAUUUUUUAUUUUUUUUUUUCCUUUCAAUCUAAACAUAAAAUGGAAAAUAAAGAAAAAAAGAGCUCUUGUUUUACUCGGCACAUGUACAAAAUAUAAGACAUCAAUGUGUUGAACAUGCAAAUCCCAUGCAUGUAUCUGCCAUGCAGGGAUUCAUAAUUAGCUCAACUGAAAAAUUGUUAAGAUCUUUCUUCAUUGUCUUUUUGUCAUAUAAAAAAACACGAGAAAAAUAAAAUAAAACAAGAAAAGGAAGCGCAUGCACAUGCCUGUAAAUGUAUAAUAUACAUCCAUCCAAAUGGGCAAAGAUUAGAUGCCUUCUCACCAUUUUUCCGCGCAUCCAAAACCGUAAGGGGCCACUCACACUUGAUGUGCAGGAUACUUAAAUCAGUUACGCAGCCAGAAAAUUAAAAUUAGAGAUAAAAAAAUUUUCAAGAGUUAACAAGAGUGAGAUUAAAAAUUUUAUUAUUUUAAAAGGAAAAAUAAAAAAUUUUAUUAUUUUUUAUUAUUAGACUAAUUUUAAAAGGUAAAAUAAUAUAUUUUCAUAUAUUAUUAGACUAAUUUUAUUUUAAAAUUUAAUAUUAUUUCUUCUAAGUAUUUUUUUAUGAAUAGAAAUUUUAAUAGAGAAUUAGAGAUCAUCCACUGGAUUUAAAAGUUAAAAUAUAUUUAUAAAUUAUUUCAUCUAUUACACUUAAAUUAUCAACUUGUAGCUUCUUCAUACAAAAUAAGGAGAUAAUUAAUUUAUCUUAAAUCUAUAAAAUUUUCAUUUGAAAUUAUUUUAAUAUUUAUUUUAUAAAAUAUUAUUAAGAGCGAAUGAAUAGUGAGAUCCAAUAAAGAAGAGUAAAAAAUUAAAAAUGUAAUAUACUCUUUUCUAAAUUAUAUAAAAAAAUGACACUUAAAAUAGAACAAAAAAAAAUCUUAAAAGUUAAACAGAAUAUCGGAAGUAUAAAUAAUAGAUUUUAUUUUUUAUUUUUUAAAAAUCGAAUUAAUCAGAGCAAUACUAACAAAAUAAUAUUGUAAAGUUACUUAGGACAUCCCUUCCUCUUAUCUCUCCGUGUGGUCGCUUUCAUUGGCUUCAUAAUCAUACACAUAUUCAUGGCCCACUUACGAAGCCAUCUCACAACCACAAAAUAUAAUUUUCAAAAGAAAAAUGACCGUUCGGACAGCUUGUUAAGUUUUUCCACACUUCUUCCUCACUUUCCCACUCUCUAUAACGGCUACAAUAGAAGGCUCUGGAACAAUCUACCUGUUUUAAGACGGCGGGACACGUGUAACCAAUCACAUGGGCUGCUUUUGCUCGAAAAUGGAGAAGAAUAAGCUGUAGUGUUACUCUUAGAUGUGAAUUAUUUGCUUCAAAUGAUGCUUUAGUUGUUUCUAGUGAAAAUAGAGCAAUAGUAAUUUUUUUUUUUUACCAUUUAAUAUGAUGUACAAUGAAUUUUUUACACUAUGUACUAUUAUGCAGCAGUUACAACAUUUUAAAGUCCAUCAAAUAGUAUAAUCCAUUAGAAAAUCCAAUAAAUUUCUCAUUGCUCUUUUGAAUAAUAUUUACUAUAUUUGUGCAUAUUAAUUAUUAAAAAAAAUUUAUUUACACCCGGUGUUUGGAUCUAUUUAUACAUCAAAUCAAUCACAAAUAAUAUUUUGAUUUAAUCAAAUGUAUUUCUAAUCAUAUAUUAAAAAAAGAUAAAAUAAUAAUUUUUUUGAUUGGUUUACUGAAUGAGACUACCCAUAUACUAAGUGUUGAUAAAAAUUUCCUUAAUUAUUAUAGAAAAGUUAGAAAUAAUUCAAUCGCUUUUCCUUAACUUACUUUUUUGCACUUAAUGUAAUAAAAAAAACUUCAAAACUUUAAUAAUGUAAAAUGAUUCUUACUAAAUUGUAUAGUUAAGUCUAAUAGGAUUGUUGAGACUUUGGUUCUUAAUUUAUGAAAUUUCAAUUUUUAUCCUAAAAAAAAAAAAACAAAGUAACAGGAAAGCUCAUAUAAAUGAACAUGCAAGAGAAAAAAAAAUCAUUUUUUAACUAAAGUAAAUUAUUGCAUACUUCCCUCCUAGAUUACUCUGAAAAAUAAAAAAUAAAAUACACAAAAUUAAAAAUAUACGAGCUUUGUUAACAGAUACAUAUUACGUACAUUUACGAUUACAUUCUUAGCAUAAUAUCAAAAUUUUCAAAAACAUUACAGUUCUUUUAUUCUAUUUACAUUGUAAGUAUCUCUCUACACAGAUUAUGCCAAAAAUACUUUUUGAAUAUCAGUUAAUCAGAUUUAAAAUAGAAUCAGGUGCAGGUGAUAUUACUUAAAAAAAUAAUAUUUCACUGUGCCACGGCAUAUAAGAUAAAAGUGUAAUCGGCAUAUAAGAAGGCACAAAAUCAAGAGAGUUGACAUGAAUGGACUGCUGUUGGGAGUGUGAGUUGGACGGAUUUGAAAUAAAGAUAAGAGGAAAGGCAUAGGUGGGACCUGUUUACUGUGCCACAGCAUGAACCGUGAUGUUUUUUGCCAGCUGGUGGACACGUGAUUCUUGAUUAGUUCAAUUACUGCAUUUGAUCAAACAUGGCCCCACUCUUUGAAUAUUUAAUUUAAGAAAAAAACCCAACCAGAACACCUCAUAUUUCCUGACUGAAAUGCUUGCUUGCUGCGGGCUACUACAAUAUAUAAGAUAUAUCUAUACUGAAACCCUUUAUCUUUAAUUGGCAUUAUUAAAAGAUUUUGUAACCUUACACCGUGGAAAUACUGGAAAUGACAAUUUUAACUCAUUUAAAUGUAAAAGUUAAUUAACAAAUUUAUUUUGGAUAAUUUAUACAAAAUAUGAAUAAAUAUUGUAUUUCUAAAAUAUAAGUCGUUUAAAGUAUUGCAUGCGAUUAAUGAAUCAAUUAAUUUCGCUAAAAAUUAUAUCACUCCGUCUCAAAAUUUAAGUUGUCUAAGGUGAUAAUUUUAUCACAAAAUAUAAGUCAUUUUGAAUAUUUUAAGAAAUUACAAAUGAUUUUUUUUCUUUCAACUGUAUCCUUAUUUAUAUUAGAUAUAAUACAACGAUGUGAGAUAAAAGUAACAAUGAGAGAUAAAUGAUAAUUUGUUCAAAUUACUCUUGAUUUUGUUAGAAAUUUAGAAAAAUUAAUUGCAUUUUUAAUUCUCGUAUAAAAAUCUUAAACGACUUAUAUUUUGGACAAAUAGAGUAAUAAACUCAACAAUAAUUUGAUUUAUGAGAAUUAAUUUAAACGAUCAAAUUAUCCUUAAUCUCAAAAUCAAGUUAUUGUAUUAUGAAUAAAGUUAAAAUUGGAAAAAAGAUUAUUUGUUAAAUAUGUUUUGAAAUCAAAUAGUUUUAUGAGUUAAAAAGAUUAGAAAUAAUCAUUUUUUAAAUUCAUUUGGUGUUAAAUUGGGAUGAUAAAUUAUCAAAAAAAAAAAAAAAAUAUAUAUAUAUAUAUAUAUUUGACAAACAGAUUGAAAGCUAGUUCUUUUGAAAGUUUACUGAGAACACAAAUUACAAGCUCAUAGUAGUUAGUAGCUUGAUUAAGGAAACCCAUGAAGGACAAAAUGACAGUGGCAAAUGCCUUUGAGACCAAAAGGCUUCAGCUUCAAUUUUUUAUAACGUAACAUUUAAUAUCUUUCUCUUUAUGAUUUUUAAAUUAUUGUAAUUGCUAUCAACAGUAUAAAGUAUAGAAAAUUCAUUAUAUAUAAUAUUGAAUAAAAAAAAAAAAAGGGUGAGAAAUGUCAUUAUUUAUAGAAUUAAUUCACACAAACAUAAAUGCGAAGCUUCAUUCUACCUUUUAGGUGCUACCAUUCACUGAAGGGGAACGCACGCAUCAUUGAAGCUCAACGCCUGUCUUUUGCACUUUUCAAACUGAAUCAUUUCAUUCGUGAAAUAAAUUGAUGGAUAAAGGGCAAUUGCCAAACAAUAUUAACGGCAAAAACAAACGAGUCUUUUUUUUUUUUCUUUUUCUUUUCUUUUCAUUAGAAUAUUUAAAGUAUUGGUUAGAGGUAUAAUUAUAAAAUAUAAUUGAUCUCAUAAUUAAUCUUUUCCUUUUCUUAAUAAUAAUCAUUAUAGUCUUGCUUUUGGUGUUAUAGUUGUUUUUUUUUUUUAAUAAUAAAAAAAUAAUGUAUUAUGUCAAUCGAAUGUGAUCUGAUUGGUAUUUCCAUUCACCUUGAGAAGUUUCAAAUUUUAGAUAGUUAACUAUCAGAGUUAUCGUCAAUUUUGCUUAUAAAACAACAAGAGAGCUACCUAUAUUAUGCAGCCCACAAAAAUUCUUUAUAAUAAAUUAAAAAAAUAUUAUUUUAUUAAAAUUGAUAUAUUAUAUUUGUUAUUUAAUAGUUUGAACUAGAAAAAUAAGCUACUAAAAUUCACACAGAUUUUCUUAAAUAUAAAUUUUUACUAUGAAAAAUAGAAAUCAAAGUCAGAAAACAGAAAUGAUACAAAAUAGACACGUAAUCAUAUUUGAUGAGCAUUUCUCAUAAUACACGUUAGCUUGUUUAGCUUGUUUCGUGUAAAUUGAUGAUCCCAUUCUGUUUCGACAUAAAUGGUAUCAUUGGUUAUUAUAAACAAUUUCAAAAAUUUUUGAGCUACCACCAUAAAUACAACUUGUAUGAUUUCAAUUUUCAAAUUUAAAAGUUAUCUAAUAUCUACUUUAUCAAUGGACCUACACCUUUCCAAAUUUCUUGUUAAUCUUAUGCAUUAGAAAAUUUAGCCAAAUAAAAUUGAUAUUAUAUAUCAAUUUUAUUUAUUUUUCAAUUUAAAAUCACAAGUUUAAUUAUCGGAAAAUGCAUAUACUAUGAAGAAAAAAUUUUUAUAAUCAACUAUCCAAAAGAGAUUAGUUUACACCAAUAUAGUAGAAGAAAAAUAGUGGAAGAACACGUGACGAUUCUAAUAUGAUAUACAUAAACUAAAAAUAUUUUAAAGGAGUCUUCACUUAUAAUUUUGUUUUCAAAAUUUAAUACUUGUAAUUUGUUUUAACCAACUAUUUACUAUUUUUAAUUGAUUUUGUAAACUCAAAACUCCAUUUAUUUUUCAAAAAAUAAUUUAUUUUUAAAAAAUAUUUUUAAAAGCAAAACAUACUUGAAAAUUUGAAAUAACACAUUUUCUAUUGUUUGGUUACAAUAUUGAAAAAUUGUUAAAAAAUAUUAAAGCUUUUAUAAGAUCGAAAAAAUUUAUAAUUAUAAAAAGUUUCACAUUUUAAAAUUUUAUUAUUUAAUACAACAUAAAUAUUUAUUACGUGCUUGAUUGUAAUUUGUAUCUAAGACUUAAUCAUAUUUUAUGGACCAAAGAUAUAUUUUGUAUAGAAUCCAGAUAGAAAUAAGAGAUUAUAUUCCUAAAUCCUUCGCUAACUCUCAAUGAACUAGCAAUCACUCCAAAAUACUUAUUGAAUUGGUAUUUCAAAUAUUUAUCUAAUAAAGAUUCCACCUACAACUCUAAUGAAAAUUCUUUACCUCUGUAUAAAAGAGGGAUCAAACUCCCUACUCACACUAUUUAGGCAAUGUAAUACCAAUAUAUUUCAUUCAAUUAUAAGUAUUUAUUAUUUAUUUACUGACUUAAACAUAAAAGUGAUUGCAGGCCUAGAUGAGACCUUUAUUAUUCGUUUAUGUCUUGCAGAUUUCUACGGACCUCUCUUUAUUUUUCCUUGUUCAUUUAUGUCUUACAGAUUUUUACAUAGGCGCUAUGGAUAGAUUUUUCUAAGUCUAUCAUUAUUAAAUAUGAGAAACAAUAUUAUAAAAAAAGAUAAAUUACGAUAUCUAUCGAUGACCGUGGUCGUGAAAAUAAUGAUUAAUUAAUAAUAAAUAUGUAUUUAUAAGUUUAUAAUAAAUUUAUCAGUAUCUGAAAAAUAUUUUUCUCUUUUAGAAAAAGAAAGUUAUAAAAAUGAUUUAGUUCUCUCUUUCUUAAGGAAAAUAUCAUCUGUUGCUAAUUUUCUUGAACACUUCAAACAUUAAAAAAAAAUCUAAAAAAUAUUAUUCAGACAAGUUAUUUCUCGAAAUUAAUGGAAUCUCAAUAUUAAUUUAUUAUUAUUUUUUCCAUUGAGAAAAAAAUAUAUUAGAUUUAUUCCACUAUUGAGAAUAAAGGAAAUCAUUUAAAAUAAGAAAGCUCAAAAAGUUAUAGCCGUAAUACUAAUAGCAUUAUUUCAAAUUUGUUUGACAUGAUGUAAUCAACCGAAAUGAUAAUUACAUUAUAUGAGUAAUUACAUUAUUUGAUUAGACUUUUUUUAAUAGCGUAGUAUAAUUGAGACUACGUGUAUAAUCUUCAUCACUUAAAUUGAUGUAAUACUCAUUACAUGAAAAAACACACAUAUUGUCUAUUACAUCAAGUAAAUGGAAUACCGAUUAUAUUAAGUCAUCCCAAUCAAAACUCUACCAUUCUAGAUUAUUUAGGCUGUGUUGGGUAAUAAAGUUUUGAGUGGCUUUUAAAGUUUUGACUGGUCAAAACGUUACUUAAAAAGUUGUUUGGUAACAUAGCGUUUGGACUAGCUUUUAGAGAUUAGAAUAACGUUUUGUGAAAAGUUAACUCACGUAACGUUUAGCUUUUAGCGUUUCAUGAAAAACUACUCAAACAGCUAACAACUAAACACUAUUAAAAUAGCAAAUAGCUACCAAAAUAGCUAAUUUUGCCGAACAUAUCCUUAAUACUACCACUUCACCACCACAACCACUAUCACCGCUUCACCACCACAGCACCACCUUAACACCCACCACAACCACUGCCACAAUUACUACUCCACCACCACCACCACCACUACUGUUCCAUCACUACUUCAACCACCAUUACCGCUCUGCAACGACAACCAUCACCAUUGUUCUACCAUCACCACUACUACCACCAUCACUGCUCCAUCACUAUCACCUCAACUACCACCACCGCUGCUGCUGCCUCAACUCCUACCAUCAUCGCUCCACCACCACUAUCACCACCAUCGCUUUACCACCACCACCAUGUGGUGGUGAUAUGAUUAGUGGUGAUGGUGUGCUAAUUAUAUUACAUAUUUACAAAAAAAAAAAAAAAGAACGAUGAUUAUAUUCCUAAAUUUUCUUGAUAAUAUUAUCAAACAUAGUAAUGAAAUCUUAAUUAAAUUACGUUUUUCAUCACAUUACUUCUUUAAUUACAUUAUAUUGCCUUACAUCAAACCAGACAUAGCGUUAGCAUGUAUAUCCUCAUACACAUCAAAACUUGACUCUAAUAUCUAUGAGAAAAAUGCACAGUUAAGCCCUUAAAUUUAAUCAGUUUUUCCAUUAAACUUUUAUUUAUGAAUAUUAAGUUUUUAAACUUUUAUUUUUUUUAAAAAAAUUAAACUCUAUUUAACCGAGAUUUAAACUUUUAUUUUUUUAAAUUAAACUCUUAUUUAAUUAUGAGUUAAACAAUUAUAAUCCCAUAUGUUAUACGCGGUUGAUGGGAAAACUUAAUCGAAUUGUUAAAUCUCUUAAACUUUUAUUUUUUGAAAAUUAAGUUUUUAAAUUUGUACUUUUGUUAAAGUGAGUAUUUAAAUUAUUUCCAUUAUCAGUGAUUUGAAUUUAUUAUUUACUCACUAUCGAUUUAGAACUUAAUUUUAACUUAAAUAAAAAUUGAAGGAUUCAAUAUUGAUAAAUGAAAUUGCAGGAGCUUAGUAGACAAAACUUGAAAAAUAAGAGGCUUAAGUACAUCUUUUACCAAAUAUAAUCAAGAGUUAAUUUACACUCACACAUAGGUGAGGAUAGGAUUAGGAUAGAAGUGUGGUAAGUGCCCGCGAACUUUGAGUUAUCCAUAUCUAUAUCUGUUUAGAGCUUUAAAAUCAAUUGUAUCUAUGUUAAAUCCGUUUAAAUACCUAUAUCAAAAUCUGUUUAAAAUUUUACUGUCCGAUCCAUUCAAAAUCUAUUUUAAAUACUUGUAUUUGAUGUUCAUAAAAUUUAAACCAUUUAAACACGAACUUAUUUAAAAAAGUAUCUUCCAUUGAUAAUGGAUAAAGUAUCAAGGAUACUCACAGUAAAACUCAUUUAAUAUAAUGGAUAACAAGUAACGAAUAUUCAAACUCAUUUAGUAAAACUCCUGAAUUCAAACGACAGGAUUUGCAAGUGAAGAGAGAUGGAACCUAAAACGGUUGGCUAUGUACUCAAUGUAGAUUCACUAACAAAGUACAACAAAUGCAAAUACCAAGUAAAAAGGAACAAAUGGUUAAGAAUUCAGACAAAGUCCUAACUUCAAAGUUCAAAGUUCAAACCAUAAAAUCAUUUCAGUAAGGAGAAAUCAAACUAAAACUUUUGAAUGUUAAAAUUUCAACUUUAACCACAGAACCAAAACCCUGUUAGCUAUGUACUAACACAAAGUGCAAGAAACACCGAGUACGAACUCAAGCACAGUAAGAUUGAGCUGGAUUGCCCAUAACCCAAAAACACUAGAAUGUGUCUGGUGUGGAGGGGUCCAGAAGCCAACUUAAAUAGAAGCAGAGGGACAACACUGGAAAUUAUGAUUUAAAAAAAAAAAAAAAAAAAAAACUAAAAAGCAAAGAGAGAAACAGACAAGAAAUAACCGUUGUAGGGGUGGCUUUUUGGGUUGGAUGCCAGGCUGACGCUUGAGCCCCCCUCAGAUGAUUCAGCUCACAUGGUCUAUCUGUACACUCUGGGUCCCACCCUCCACUUUCUCUCUCUACUACCCUCUUUGGAUUAGUUGUCAAAUGAUCCUUUUAUGUUAUCAUAUUACACACUUUCAUCCUAUCUAUUUCAAAGUUACUAACUUUAGUUAAUGAGAUUUAAUCUGCCAAAUGCAUAAAUUAAUAUCUAAAUUUUAUAAGAAGAGUCUAGUAGCACCUUUAAACGUUGAAAACUUCUUUUCGUAAAAUUAUAGCUAGUAAAUGCCUUAAUUUAAAAAACCGUAUUUAUUAAAUACUUAAACGUAUAUAAUUAUGUUUAUUAAAUAUUUAUCGGAUGAUUUAAAAUAUAAAAAUUUUAUUAUUUAAUAAAUUAUAUUAAAAGUUAUAUAAAAUGUUACACUUAUUGAAUAUAUUAUUUAGUAAUUGUUGUAAAAUUAAAAACCCUGUUUUUUUUUUUUUCAAAUUAAGUUGAUACUUAGUCUCAACUGUGCUUUUAUCCAUAAUUUUAAAUAAUUUAUUUGUAGAAACCCUAAAAACCAUAUAUUUUUCGUUGACAUAUCAUAAAAAUUAAAAUUAUUAAUUUCAAACUGUUUAAAUACUGGUAAAAUGUAAAAUAAUGCAAAUGGUGACAGUUUUUGCAACCAACUUUUUUUCUUGGAAAUUCUCUGUAUUACAAUCGUCUUUUAUAAUAUUUUUAUUAAUAUUAUUUUGUUCCAAACAUGCCCUUGUCUUAUCCAAAUAAUGCCCCGUACUCUCCUGCCCUUCUCUCUAUUCUUAUAAGGGCAGUGGCCUGUGGAUCAAAGACCACAGUCCCAAGAGAGAAGAGAAAGACAAAGCAAUUAAGCUCACAAGAGAGAAGCUCUUCUAUUUUCUAGAGUAAGAAAGAAGAAAGAAGACGAUGGCCAAGGAAGUAAGUGAAGAAACGCAAACUACCCAUGCAAAGGAUUAUGUUGAUCCACCACCUGCGCCACUGAUCGACAUGGCUGAAAUCAAGCUCUGGUCUUUCUACAGAGCUUUAAUAGCUGAGUUCAUAGCCACUCUCCUUUUCCUUUACAUAACUGUAGCCACUGUAAUUGGCUACAAGAAACAAACUGAUCCAUGUGGUGGAGUUGGUCUUUUGGGCAUUGCAUGGGCCUUUGGUGGCAUGAUCUUUAUCCUUGUUUACUGCACUGCCGGUAUAUCUGGUAAGUAAAAAAAAAAGGAACUAUUUCUCUAAGUUACUAGUACCCAAAUGGGUAUUUAUUAAGUUUUAGGUUUCUGUGAAGUUUCUUUGUGGAUUUGGUCAUUCAACUUGAAAAAUAACAAAACCCAUUUGUUUUCAAGACCUGUUUAAUAAUGGGUUUUCCUUAUUUUGGUUACAGGUGGUCAUAUUAACCCAGCAGUGACCUUUGGGCUGUUUUUAGCAAGAAAGGUGUCACUAAUUCGAGCCUUGGCUUACAUGGUGGCUCAGUGUUUAGGUGCCAUCUGUGGUGUAGGGUUGGUCAAAGCUUUUAUGAAGAAUCCAUAUAAUCAUCUUGGUGGUGGUGCUAACUCUGUAAAUACCGGCUAUAGCAAAGGAACUGCUUUGGGUGCUGAGAUCAUCGGCACUUUUGUUCUAGUCUACACUGUUUUCUCUGCAACUGACCCCAAGAGAAGUGCACGUGACUCACACGUUCCUGUAUGUUAUCAACCAUAGCCUAGUAUAGCUCUCCUCUUUCAUGUCAAAGAGUUCAAAUCUAAACUUUGUUUUGGUUAUGUUUGGUUGCAGAUUUUGGCUCCACUUCCAAUUGGGUUUGCAGUUUUUAUGGUUCACUUGGCUACCAUACCCAUUACUGGUACUGGUAUUAACCCAGCGAGGAGCUUCGGUGCUGCUGUUAUUUACAACAAUGAUAAAGUCUGGGAUGAUCAUGUAAGCCUCUUGAUAGUCAACCAGAAACUUAUUUUUCUUGAUUUUAUGGUUGUUUUGAAGUUGGUGCUUUUUAACAUAAAACAUCAGAAGUAGGUUAAUUUUCAAGAAUAUGUUUAUCUUCUUGAUAAAAUAAUUUAAUUUCCUUUUUAAUUAUUUUUUGGAUGGGCAGUGGAUUUUCUGGGUUGGACCGUUUGUUGGAGCAAUUGCAGCAGCUGCAUACCAUCAAUACAUACUGAGAGCAGCAGCUAUCAAAGCUUUGGGAUCUUUCCGCAGCAACCCCACCAACUAAAAUGAAAGAAAGAACGAAAGAAAGAAAAACAAGAAAAAAAAAAAAAACCAAAGGCUUUGUGUAGCUAUCUUUAGUCUCUAGUCUUUCUUUUUCUCUAUUUGUUUGUUUGUUGUGUGUAAUGAGAGGAUUAUGAUGAUGACCCUUCUUUCUUCUUUCUUUUUUUACUUCAUUUUUUCUUUUCUUAUUGUUCUUUUGUAUCAUUGUUAAUGAGUAGUGCUGUUCUUUUUUCUUUCUUUUGAUCAUAUUUAAUUGCUUUGUGCAGUGUAGAACGUUCUCUCUCAACACUCUUUUAAUAAUUAGCCACUAAAUAAACUACCAGCUAACUAAAUUUUUAUCCUCUCGACCUUCAUUACAGCGGUGCUAGUGAAUUUGUGAGUAGCGGUUAGGCCAUCUUCGGGAACAGUUUUUUCAUAUGGC